rnacentral:misc_RNA from 1 species
UGGAUGGGAAAGACGCAGGAUCUUGUGAUAGUUAAUGUCAGCGUUGGUGAUAAGCUGCAGAUUUGUCUGCCCUUUUUAUGUCUACUCAUCUUUUAAUAUUUUUAUCUUUUAGAGAAGGCAUUACAGGCAUUUAUGUUUGAUACAGAUAUGAUGUACAUGAUGCAACUUUGAAAAAUGGCAGAUUAAGUUUAAAAAUGAGUUUAUUUCAGUAUAUACUAUUAUACAUGUAUAAAAACCAGAUUUACUUGUAGUAAACUUUAGUUAGAACCUGUGACACCAACUUCAGGUGUUAUGACUUCUUGUUGAUUUUGUUAAUCAUUUUGCACUACUGUUUACUUUAAACUCUGCUAUACCUACGGUACGAGUAUAUACUUGUUUUUGAUACUGCAUACAGCUAUUUGUUUUUGCAUUACAGAGACAGUCAUGAUAAAUUUUACUGUAUUCUUGAAUCAACUGUCCACUUAAAAAUGUUUUAGCAGGGAAUAAGAACAUUUCUAGAAUUGCUUCAUAAUUUUGUUGUAUUUUAAAAGUGACUAUGUGGAAACAAAAUUAGCAUGUUCACAAACUUUGUAAAACGUGCAUCAUUGAUAUUUUGUCCAAAGACAAAUUGUUAAAGGUGGAUUUAAUUGAGUUAUUUACAAGAAUGGAGGUGAGACAGUUGUGUGUGUGUGAUGAUCUAUCACUGAAUGACUCUUAUGCUCACCCUAUUUAGUAUUUUAAGUACAGAAAGAGAGAGAGAGGUCUGUUCUGUGGCAGCUGUUAAUGCCUCGGAUUUCAGAGUCUGAGCCUGCCCCAUGGCAGCUAGGUUUUGUACAUACACAGUGUGAUAGACCAAUGAGAGAGCACCUGCCUAAACAGAAUAUUGUAGCUCCUUCGAAUGUUGAACAAUUAUAUCAUUACAUGACUGAUGAAUAAGAAGUGAUUUAAUGUGAUUCUUGAGAGAGACAAUAUUCUUUACCAAAUCUCAAACAAUGAAAAAGUAUGCAGGAAAUGUAGUUGAAUCAAAUGUAGGAGACCUACUGUAAAACUUCCUUGCACUGAUUACAAUAAGGGAGACUGGUGAGGCUUGUCAGGAUAAAAUGAUUUGAAUGAAUACUGGUAUAUCUUUUUAUUCAGAAAAACUCGCAUAUUUUCUUUUGAAUCAUCCGAAAGGAUAGUUUUUCCUUUGAAUAUUAUAACAUUAUUUAUUGUAGAAAAUAAUUGCCAAAGGUAUCUGAAAUUGUUAAUUUAUAUUCAGUUUAUUUGAUUAAAAGUAUCAGAGUUUAGGAUGUGCAUGCACUCUUGUAAUGUAUUUAGUAAUGUAUUUAAGAACCCUGAUUAUUCACUGCUUAAUGGCUAUGUCAUUCACAGGUUUGUUGUUUGUUUACAUCACAAACAGUUGUUGAUUUUGUGUAUUGCUUUGGGUUACUCCUUAUUUAGAUGUGAUCCCUUGCAGUGGAUAGGGAUGGGUUUUCUGUUGUGAAUGUUAAAAUUUAAUACUUAUGUACAGUGAUUUAUCAUACAUUAUGAAAAUUAAAGCACUCUUUAAAUU